rnacentral:ncRNA from 1 species
CGAUUGGAUAGUGCAGGAAACUGCAUGAAACUCGCCUGUAAUCCCGGCAUCAUCACACCAGUGAUGUGGCGACUUCACUUCUGCCUUCGGGCAGCUUCAAC